UAGAAUUCCACGUGUAGCAGUGAAAUGCGUAGAGAUGUGGAGGAAUACCGAUGGCGAAGGCAGCCUCCUGGGAUAACACUGACGUUCAUGCUCGAAAGCGUGGGUAGCAAACAGGAUUAGAUACCCUGGUAGUCCACGCCCUAAACGAUGACAAUUAGCUGUUGGGACACUAGAUGUUUUAGUAGCGAAGCUAACGCGUGAAACUGUCCGCCUGGGGAGUACGGUCGCAAGAUUAAAACUCAAAGGAAUUGACGGGGACCCGCACAAGCGGUGGAUGAUGUGGAUUAAUUCGAUGCAACGCGAAGAACCUUACCUGGUCUUGACAUGUACGGAAUCUCUUAGAGAUAGGAGAGUGCCUUCGGGAGCCGUAACACAGGUGCUGCAUGGCUGUCGUCAGCUCGUGUCGUGAGAUGUUGGGUUAAGUCCCGCAACGAGCGCAACCCUUGUCAUUAGUUGCCAUCAUUAAGUUGGGCACUCUAAUGAGACUGCCGGUGACAAACCGGAGGAAGGUGGGGAUGACGUCAAGUCCUCAUGGCCCUUAUGACCAGGGCUUCACACGUCAUACAAUGGUCGGUACAGAGGGUAGCGAAGCCGCGAGGUGAAGCCAAUCUCAGAAAGCCGAUCGUAGUCCGGACUGCACUCUGCAACUCGAGUGCAUGAAGUCGGAAUCGCUAGUAAUCGCAGGUCAGCAUAG
rnacentral:rRNA from 2 species